GUAUAAGAGACAGCCUACGGGGGCAGCAGUGGGGAAUCUUGGACAAUGGGCGCAAGCCUGAUCCAGCCAUGCCGCGUGUGUGAAGAAGGCCUUCGGGUUGUAAAGCACUUUCAGUAGGGAGGAAGGCUUUGGGCUAAUACCCUGGAGUACUUGACGUUACCUACAGAAGAAGCACCGGCUAAUUUCGUGCCAGCAGCCGCGGUAAUACGAAAGGUGCGAGCGUUAAUCGGAAUUACUGGGCGUAAAGCGCGCGUAGGCGGUGUGUUAAGUCGGAUGUGAAAGCCCAGGGCUCAACCUUGGAAUUGCAUCCGAUACUGGCACGCUAGAGUGCAGUAGAGGGAGGUGGAAUUUCCGGUGUAGCGGUGAAAUGCGUAGAGAUCGGAAGGAACACCAGUGGCGAAGGCGGCCUCCUGGACUGACACUGACGCUGAGGUGCGAAAGCGUGGGGAGCAAACAGGAUUAGAUACCCCAGUAGUCCGUUA
rnacentral:rRNA from 1 species